UUCUGGGAAAGCUUUCGCGGUAUGGGAUGGGGUCGCGUCCUAUCAGCUUGACGGCGGGGUAACGGCCCACCGUGGCUUCGACGGGUAGCCGGCUUGAGAGGGCGACCGGCCACAUUGGGACUGAGAUACGGCCCAGACUCCUACGGGAGGCAGCAGUGGGGAAUAUUGCACAAUGGGCGCAAGCCUGAUGCAGCGACGCCGCGUGAGGGAUGGAGGCCUUCGGGUUGUAAACCUCUUUUAUCGGGGAGCAAGCGAGAGUGAGUUUACCCGUUGAAUAAGCACCGGCUAACUACGUGCCAGCAGCCGCGGUAAUACGUAGGGUGCAAGCGUUAUCCGGAAUUAUUGGGCGUAAAGGGCUCGUAGGCGGUUCGUCGCGUCCGGUGUGAAAGUCCAUCGCUUAACGGUGGAUCCGCGCCGGGUACGGGCGGG
rnacentral:rRNA from 1 species